GUACACUUUACUGACGUAAUUUGAAUCCUUGUAAUCGUUUCAUGAUUGGUUACUACCCCUGCCCAUCAAAACUUUGCUGGCUAAGCAUUGGCUGGCUUUGUUUUGGCGUAAUCCAGUCAAAAGCCUAUGGUGAGCUGAAGGACAUCUCUCUGGGCAAAUCGGUGUUCCCGUGACAUUUUGAGUUGUCAAACCCUAUCUGAUUGAACAAAACAGAAAAAUAGGGCGGGAUAUUUAUCGGAAGAGUCUAACGAAGCAGGAAGAGAUGGAUUUUCACUGAUAAAACUCGAUAUUUGAUAGAAAAUAAACAUGAUCGAUCAUACUUAGCGGACGCGCGGAUGUAAACAAAGGAGGAUAUUGCUGGAUUUAUCACUAUUUUUCGUUGUUUUGGAUUAAAACGUGGGAUGCUUUUUGAAGAGUGGACCCUUACGUUGCAAUGUACGUUGAAGUUUUUGGGAAUUGUCAGAAAUGAUCAGAACCAUAUGGCAAGAUAUUUACAAAAGGUGAUCCUUCAGUAUGCCAUUCCUACUUCAGUAAGUGACCUGUCAAAGGAAAUAGAAAAACAAUGUAAUCUACAAGGACAUUUAAGGCUGCAGUUCAUGGAUUUUGACUUGGGCAAUUAGUUUUUAAAUCUCAUGUCCACAUCUGAAAUUCAAGACAAAAGUACACUAAAGGUGGCAUUUCUGACAACACCAAGUGAUUGUGACAACUUGCCCUCACCACAGCUGAACAGUUCUCAAAGGAGUACCUGCUCAUAACCAGCUCUUUCACUUUCAUCCUGUGACACAGUCAUUUGUCAACCCCAUCUACAUCAUUAGGCUCUGACUGUGUUGCAAAAGUGUGUCUUGCCAAAUAUAUAACAAAACUGAGAAAAAUUGGCUGUACUGAAGUGAAAUUAAGCCCAAACCAGCUGGAAUUUCCAGUUCUGCUUACCAUAUAAAAAAACAUGCAAACGCUGAGGUGAACUUCUGCCCUUACCAUCCACAAACGGAGACAUCCAAAACACUGAAAGUAGUCAGUGUAAUACUUCUGUCUGAAAUGAAAAAGAACAAUGAGAAAACAUUAUGAAUGCUGAUGGACAAGACCUUUUUUAUCAGGAGACAUGAGGUUGUCAAGGAAUCGCCUUCAAUAGCAGAUUUCAAAACUAGAUGGCCUGCUCUUUUCAGAAGGGAAGAGAUUUGUGCAGAGUUUAAAAGAAUCACAACAGCCUCAUUGGUGUCUACAUACUUGGCGAAGAUGAAUCAAUAUUCUGCAAAGCUUAUAAGGAUCUAUGCAAAACGAGGAGUCGUCAAUGGACAGAGAAUUAAAAACCUGCUGGUUCACAACACAGACUGACAACAUUGAUCAGACUCCGAUCUUUCUUUGUCUACCUGAAUGAAGACCCGACCAGUCUAAUUAAAGAGUAUUUGGAUACAGAUGCACCCAGUACCCAGGAGGCGAUCCAGAAGAUGGUGAUGGGAGUGCUUGUUGUAAAAAUGUAUGGUUCAGACAUCGAAGACAGCCCAGCAGAUGUUGGAGUGUUAUUAAAGGGAUUAAGAGUUCUCGGACCUCAACAACAUUGUGUAUGCGACAACCAUGCUGAUGGGACUGAAAUAUGCACUGAACUUGAGCUACUUUCCUGAAUUCAGGUACACUUUUGAAGUAUUGCAGUUGUUGUUUCUGGAGCUAGAUGGGAAGUAACUAUCUCAUAAAGUUCAGACCCUGAAGACCAAGCCUUUUGCAGAUGUUUUGAGAAAGGAAUGUUUUAAUAUUUCAUAUGUAAAUGCCAUGUUUUUGAAAUGGCAGUACAAUAACAUUCAGGAAGUAAGCAGUGUCGUCAAUUUAUUUUGAUAGUUUUGCAGUGUGUUUUUAUUUAAUUAGAUUAAUGUAGAGUUGUUUAAAGCUUUGGCUGUACGUAAAUAGUGCUGCAUCUAAUUUGUCAUGGAAUGUUCAUGUUUAUAAUGCUGUUACAGUAACAUUUAACUUAAAUUAUACCAAAGUUGUUGAAAAAUCUUUGAAAGUCGCAUGUGCCAGCUCUCUGAAUGGAGAGCAACCUAUUUUGUCAGUUAGCAUUACAGUUGGGUAAUACUGUUGUUUAAUUAUACUUAUCCGGGGGCUUGAAAAAAGUGCCUGAAUGGUGCUUCGUGCAUUUCAUUUGUCAGUAACUGUAAAAAAUUGUAAUGUUGUUAUAAGGUUACAUUGUAAUAUCCAAAGUUGAUGUGUGCAUCUCAUUUGUCGGUAUAUCCUUUACGGUAUCUGUAGUUUAAGUGCAAUAA